CUGCGCCUACGGGGGGCAGCAGUGGGGAAUAUUGCGCAAUGGGCGAAAGCCUGACGCAGCGACGCCGCGUGAGGGAUGAAGGUUCUCGGAUCGUAAACCUCUGUCAGAAGGGAAGAAAUUAUAUCAUGCUAAUCAGUGGUGUAUUGACGGUACCUUAUGAGAAAGCCACGGCUAACUACGUGCCAGCAGCCGCGGUAAUACGUAGGUGGCAAGCGUUAUCCGGAAUUAUUGGGCGUAAAGAGCGCGCAGGUGGUUAAUUAAGUCUGAUGUGAAAGCCCACGGCUUAACCGUGGAGGGUCAUUGGA
rnacentral:rRNA from 1 species